UACGUAGGGUGCAAGCGUUGUCCGGAAUUAUUGGGCGUAAAGAGCUCGUAGGCGGUCUGUCGCGUCGAAUGUGAAAACCCGGGACUCAACUCCGGGCCUGCAUUCGAUACGGGCAGACUAGAGUUCGGUAGGGGAGACUGGAAUUCCUGGUGUAGCGGUGAAAUGUGCAGAUAUCAGGAGGAACACCGGUGGCGAAGGCGGGUCUCUGGGCCGAUACUGACGCUGAGGAGCGAAAGCGUGGGGAGCAAACAGG
rnacentral:rRNA from 1 species